rnacentral:ncRNA from 2 species
UAAGGUAGCCAAAUGCCU